rnacentral:SRP_RNA from 1 species
GCAGGGUGCAGUGGCAUGUGCCCAUAGUCCCAGCUACUCGGGAGGCUGAGGUGGGAGGAUCGCUUGAGCCCAGGAGUUCUGGGCUGUUGUGUGCUAUGCUGAUCGGGUGUCCACACUAAGUUCGGCAUCAAUAUGGUGACCUCCCGGGAGGGGGGACUACCAGGUUGCCUAAGCAGGGGUGAAUCGGCCCAGGUAGGAAAAGGAGCAGGUCAAUAGUGGAAUCACGCCUGUGAAUAGCCACUGCACUCCAGCCUGGGCAAUAUAGCGAGACCCCGUCUCU